CGAAGGUCCCGAGCGUUAUCCGGAUUUAUUGGGUUUAAAGGGUGCGUAGGCGGGUUAUUAAGUCAGUGGUGAAAGCCUACAGCUUAACUGUAGAACUGCCAUUGAUACUGAUGAUCUUGAGUAUGAUUGAGGUGGGCGGAAUGUGUCAUGUAGCGGUGAAAUGCUUAGAUUUGACACAGAACACUGAUUGCGAAGGCAGCUCACUAAGUCAUAACUGACGCUGAUGCACGAAAGCGUGGGGAGCAAACAGGAUUAGAUACCCUGGUAGUCCACGCCCUGAACGAUGAUCACUCGAUGUGUGCGAUACACUGUACGCGUCUGAGCGAAAGCAUUAAGUGAUCCACCUGGGGAGUACGACCGCAAGGUUG
rnacentral:rRNA from 1 species